CUGGUCUUGACAUCCACGGAAGUUUUCAGAGAUGAGAAUGUGCCUUCGGGAACCGUGAGACAGGUGCUGCAUGGCUGUCGUCAGCUCGUGUUGUGAAAUGUUGGGUUAAGUCCCGCAACGAGCGCAACCCUUAUCCUUUGUUGCCAGCGGUCCGGCCGGGAACUCAAAGGAGACUGCCAGUGAUAAACUGGAGGAAGGUGGGGAUGACGUCAAGUCAUCAUGGCCCUUACGACCAGGGCUACACACGUGCUACAAUGGCGCAUACAAAGAGAAGCGACCUCGCGAGAGCAAGCGGACCUCAUAAAGUGCGUCGUAGUCCGGAUUGGAGUCUGCAACUCGACUCCAUGAAGUCGGAAUCGCUAGUAAUCGUGGAUCAGAAUGCCACGGUGAAUACGUUCCCGGGCCUUGUACACGCCGCCCGUCACACCAUGGGAGUGGGUUGCAAAAGAAGUAGGUAGCUUAACCUUCGGGAGGGCGCUUACCACUUUGUGGUUCAUGACUGGGGUG
rnacentral:rRNA from 1 species